rnacentral:rRNA from 1 species
GACGAACGCUGGCGGCGUGCCUAACACAUGCAAGUCGAGCGGAGAUUAUAGCAAUGUAAUCUUAGCGGCGGACGGGUGAGUAACGCGUGGGCAACCUGCCUUUCACUGGGGGAUAACACAGGGAAACUUGUGCUAAUACCGCAUAACAUCACGAGAUGACAUCUUCUUGUGAUCAAAGGAGUAAUCCGGUGGAAGAUGGGCCCGCGUCCGAUUAGCUAGUUGGCGGUGUAACGGACCACCAAGGCGACGAUCGGUAGCCGAACUGAGAGGUUGAUCGGCCACAUUGGGACUGAGACACGGCCCAGACUCCUACGGGUGGCUG